AAUCUUAGCGGUGGAUCACUCGGUUCGUGGAUCGAUGAAGAACGCAGCUAGCUGCGAUAAAUAGUGCGAAUUGCAGACACAUUGAGCACUAAAAAUUCGAACGCACAUUGCGCCAUCGGGUUCAUUCCCGUUGGCACGUCUGGCUGAGGGUUGAAAUAUUGAAAGAAAUGCCAUAAUGAAAUAUAUACGAUAAGCUAUGAUAGGGGAUAAAUGAGAAGUACUAUCGUACCUUAUUUAGCUUAUCGAUUAUUGAAUAUCUCGUUGCUUGAAUGAGAUAGGAAGAAAAUAUCGAAACAUCAAAAUGAUCGCAAAUGUCAAUUCCAGCGUGUAUUGUAUGCAUAAUAUAGUUGGAAUGAUUGACUAACGCGAUAAUAAUGAUGUUUAUGAAGAAUUUUUUGACCUCAGCUCAGUCGUGAAUACCCGCUGAAUUUAAGCAUAUAACUAAGCGGAGGAAAAGAAACUAACGAGGAUUCCCUUAGUAACUGCGAGUGAAACGGGAAAAGCCCAGCGCUGAAUCCUUCAACCACUGGUUGCUAGGAAUUGUAGCGUAUAGAUGCGACUAUCCGUUCGUUUCGUGCACCCAAAGUCCCCUGAGCGGGGCUAUAGUCCAAAGAAGGUGCUAGACCUGUACGGGUGGCGAAGCGAAUGGUUGAUCGCUCCUUGGAGUCGGGUUGCCUGGGAUCGCAGCCCAAAGUUGGUGGUAGAUCUCAUCUAAGGCUAAAUAUGGCCACGAAACCGAUAGCAAACAAGUACCGUGAGGGAAAGUUGCAAAGAACUUUGAAGAGAGAGUUCAAGAGGGCGUGAAACCGUUGAGAUUGAAACGGAUAGAGUUAACGGAAUCGGCUGCAUUCAUCCGAUCGGCUUAAUGGCUCAAUAGCGUUUGCAUUCUCGAUGAGAGCAACGUUAUCGAUAACUAUUCGGUAAUUGAUCGGUGUAUUUGCGGCUGGUAUGCGCUGAGAGUUUUGUGAUCGUAUGUUAACGGAUGUGAAGUGGACCAUUCUUUUCGGGCGUGGAACCCUUCAUAUCUUUAGGCAUAUCGAUUAUAAAAUUUUAAACGUAUCGUCUCCGCUAUUGUGCGUCGCCUUAUGUCUACUAUUGUGAUUAUUGAAUAUUCGCAUGCGAAUAUUUGUGGUCAACAAUAUUACGAUAUGAGUGAUAUGGACGCGUUGAGACGUAUAUCUCGGUGUGAACGUUGACCACCUAUCCGACCCGUCUUGAAACACGGACCAAGGAGUCUAGCAUAUGCGCGAGUCAUUGGGUGGUAAACCUAAGGGCGUAAUGAAAGUAAAAGUCACCUCGAUGUGGCCGAUAUGGGAUCCGGAGAGCUUAUGAGCAAUUCGGCGCACCAUAGCCCCGUCCUCAUUGCUUGCAAUAGGGCGGAGGUAGAGCGCAUAUGCUGGGACCCGAAAGAUGGUGAACUAUGCCUGAGCAGGAUGAAGCCAGAGGAAACUCUGGUGGAAGUCCGAAGCGGUUCUGACGUGCAAAUCGAUCGUCUGACUUGGGUAUAGGGGCGAAAGACUAAUCGAACCAUCUAGUAGCUGGUUCCCUCUGAAGUUUCCCCCAGGAUAGCUGGAGUUCGUAUGAUGCAGUUAUAUUCGGUAAAGCGAAUGAUUAGAGGAAUUGGGGACGAAACGACCUCAACCUAUUCUCAAACUUUCAAUGGGUAUGAAGUUCCGCUUGCUUGACAUUAAUGAAGCGUGAACAUUGAAUGUGAGCUCCAAGUGGGCCAUUUUUGGUAAGCAGAACUGGCGCUGUGGGAUGAACCAAACGUCGGGUUAAAGUGCCAAACUUCCCGCUCAUGAGACCCCAUGAAAGGGUUGGUUGAUAUAGACAGCAGGACGGUGGCCAUGGAAGUCGGAAACCGCUAAGGAGUGGGUAACAACUCACCUGCCGAAUCAACUAGCCCUGAAAAUGGAUGGCGCUUGAGCGGGAGACUUAUACCCGACCGUUGCAUGGCUUGUGUGUUUCUUCAUGUCUAAGAGAUUCGCCUCGCCGCAACGAGUAAGAGGGUCACAGUGGUUUGCGUUGAAGGCUUUGGGCGUAGGCCCGGCUGGAGCUUCCACUGGUGCAGAUCUUGGUGGUAGUAGCAAAUAUUCAAGUGAGAUCCUUGAAGACUGAAGUGGAGAAGGGUUCCACGUGAACAGCAGUUGAAUGUGGGUCAGUCGGCCCUAAGAUACUGGUAAUGCCAUGUGUUAUCGAGAGAUGGAGUUCAAAUCCGUCUCGUUUAUCGAAAGGGAAACGGGUUAAUAUUCCCGUACCUGGACACGGAGAUAA
rnacentral:rRNA from 1 species